rnacentral:rRNA from 1 species
UAACACGUAGGUGAUCUGCCCAUCAGACGGGGACAACGAUUGGAAACGAUCGCUAAUACCGGAUAGGACGAAAGUUUAAAGAUGCUCCUGGCAUCACUGAUGGAUGAGCCUGCGGCGCAUUAGCUAGUUGGUGGGGUAAAGGCCUACCAAGGCGACGAUGCGUAGCCGACCUGAGAGGGUGAACGGCCACACUGGGACUGAGACACGGCCCAGACUCCUACGGGAGGCAGCAGUAGGGAAUCUUCGGCAAUGGGCGAAAGCCUGACCGAGCAACGCCGCGUGAAUGAAGAAGGCCUUCGGGUUGUAAAAUUCUGUUAUAAGGGAAGAAAGGUGAUAGGAGGAAAUGACUAUCAAUUGACGGUACCUUAUGAGAAAGCCACGGCUAACUACGUGCCAGCAGCCGCGGUAAUACGUAGGUGGCAAGCGUUAUCCGGAAUUAUUGGGCGUAAAGAGCGCGCAGGUGGUUAAUUAAGUCUGAUGUGAAAGCCCACGGCUUAACCGUGGAGGGUCAUUGGAAACUGGUUGACUUGAGUGCAGAAGAGGGAAGUGGAAUUCCAUGUGUAGCGGUGAAAUGCGUAGAGAUAUGGAGGAACACCAGUGGCGAAGGCGGCUUCCUGGUCUGCAACUGACACUGAGGCGCGAAAGCGUGGGGAGCAAACAGGAUUAGAU